ACUUCGAUAUGUCGAUCAUGCGGCUUUUAGGUUUUGGUUAACCUUUUCCAAUUUGAGUGCGCGAUGAUGAGUUUUUGACGUUGAUUUAAAAAAGAAUUGAUCCUCGCGUGGUAGAAUGGCGGCGUCCUUCCUCGGGAGAAGAAUCGCUUUAACGCGACGGAGUUUCUUGAAAAUUCCGAAGCGACACGGAUAUAUAGUCCUACUUCCAGAAAUCGGUGAGGAAUCGUCGGAGAAAAAUCCUUUACUGAAGGAUGACAAUUUGCCAGAGUUUAACACAAUUACGAUCGAAAAAUGUAUAGCAGCUAUUGGAAAACAAACUGUGGACUUUGAAGAGAAGAUGAAAAGUCUGGAAAAAAUAGAGUCGACAAAAGAUUUAGAUAUAUUUAAUGAUUGGUUGCAUCCAAUCGAGGACGCGUAUCUUCCUCUAGAGACCACUUGGGGCAUAGCGAAGACCUUGUACUUUGGCAAUCAGAGCUUGAUGCCGACGAAAUGCUACGUGAAUAUCCACGAGCGUGCCACGAGAGCCAUAGCCAGCAAAUUUGGCAGCGUGCCGCUCUUCAGAGCGUGCAAGGAAGUGUUGGACAACAAGGAUCUCAAAUUGACGCACUCGCAGAGGAGAGUGCUCAUGAAGUACGUGCUGGAGGGGACCUUGAACGGCCUGCAGCUGCAGGAUAAAGAACUCGACAAGUAUUCGAGCGACUUGAGCUACAUCAUGUCAAAAAUCAAGGAGUACAAGGCGAAAUACGAGAGCUCGACAGCCGUGUACAGUAUGAUAGUACAGAACAAAGAGAUAGUGGAGGAUUUUCCGGAAGACUACCUCAAGUCCAUAGCGGUUAACCCAAGGCAACCUUACAUGGGUCCUUGGAUGAUCACUUUAAAGCCUUAUAUCCUGCAACCGUUUAUGGAAUAUUGUCCUGAUCGCAAUUUGAGGGAGGCGAUCUGGAACGCUGAUGUCAUCCGGUGCUCUAAUUAUCAGGAAAGGUCUGUUCAGGCCAGCGUGACGUUAGAGGAGCUCAGAGGAAGGAGAACCGAGCAGGCGCAACGUUUAGGAUUCAAGAAUUACGCGGAGAUGAGUAUGGAGACGAAAAUGGCCGGCAGUCUGGAGAAUUUACACAACACGCUAGAAACUCUUCGGCAAACAGCAUUGCCAGUUCAGAAACAGGAAAUCGCAAAUUUAACCGAAUUUGCAAAGGCAAGAGAUUUCAAUGAUACUUUAAGGGUAUGGGAUGUUGCAUUCUGGGGUAGAAAACAACUUCGCAGCAUGUACAAUUCCGACGAAAACAAGUGGAGGGCGUACUUUCCGCUACCGACCGUCCUGUCCGGUCUCUUCAAUCACAUCGAGACGCUCUUCAACGUGAAGAUCGUCGAAAGCAAGAAAGCGGAUAUCUGGCAUAAGGACGUCUGGUUCUUCGACCUGUUCGACUUGAACGGAUCCAGCGCGGCGCCGAUCGCGAACUUCUACCUGGAUCCCUAUGCCCGAGGUACGCAGAAGUUCCUCAAGGAACAGCACUCGGGAUGGGUGUCCACGAUCAAAAGCAAGAGCAAAAUCGGCAACAGCACCCCGUUGAUCGCCCUGAUCUUCAAUUUUCCGCCACCGGUAGGCGACAAGCCCUCUCUGCUCUCCUUCAAGGACGUGCAGGUCCUCUUCCAGAAGUUUGGCCAUGCUUUGCAACAUUUGCUGACUACGAUCGAGUACUCUGACAUUGCUGGAUUGUCGUUCGUGGAAUGGGAUGCGGUAUUCAUUUGCGAUUUCUUCAUGGAGAACUGGCUGUACGAACCAUUCAUGCUGCAAAAAAUCUCCGAGCAUUACGAAACUGAAGAGCCACUACCCGCGGAGGCUAUCGAGAGCAUCAAAAGGACGAGGUCGCACCUGGCUGGCUACAAACUUUGCAAAGAGCUUUACUUAUCGCACUUGGAUCUGGAGCUGCAUUCCAGCGGGACAUUUUGGGUGCCCAUGAUGAAGCGCCUGUGGCCGAAAUAUUUCGUGUUACCUCUCGAAAAGAGGGACACUCACGUUUGCAACUUCGAAGCUAUAUGGAGCGGCAAUUGGGCGGCCGCGUACUUCAGCAAAGUUUGGUCCAGGAUGAUAGCCGCCGAUUUAUACACGGCUUUCCAAGAGGUCAAGUCCGACGAGUCGCAGCAGAAGGAGUUGGGCGCGAGGUUCCGCAACACGUUCCUGUCCUUGGGCGGUAGUUAUCCCGCCGCCGAGGUGUUCAGGAAGUUCAGGGGAAGAGAUCCGAGCCCGCAGGCGUUACUGGAUAAUCUCGGAUUAACGCGAGCGACGAAGGAAACCACCAAGUGAUGCGAUUAUGCGACUAGAAUAGAGUACUACUCUUCGAGGAGUAAGAAUAAUGUCAAUCCUUCUUUCCUUUCGCGCGGCGAACAACAAAUGAGAUUGACAAUACAAAUCAACGAGACACCACGGAUGUUACACUACAAAUCCUACAAUCAUCGAUUAAAUUAAUCGCUAUAAUCAGUCCUGGAAACACUUCCUUCGUCUCGAAGGGCCGACACCAGAUAGACGAUCGACGAUAUCCCGACAGGAUCUGGUUUCGUUCUCGUUCUGAGAUUAACUGCUUAAUUAACAGCCACGGACAGGCCGGGUUUUUCCGCACGUUUUUAUCGCGCUCGCUACCUAACUCGUCGUCGCCGUUCGACGCGCGACCUUAUUCACACCCGUUAUACAUUACGGCGCGGUAGGUAGGCAGGAUUAUGAGUCACCUUCCCGGCAUGAAUACUAAAUGCCUCGGCUGCAUCAUUAUCAGGCGUCGCACGUGCAAAAUUUAUUUAUGAGCUCGUUAAUCAUGCUUAUUUAUAGCGAGCUCAUUUAUUUACUGUGUCAAUUCUUUAUAGGACAAUCAAAUUCGCUUCGUCGUUACGGGAAUCCUAAACUUGUUAUCGUGGAAAAAGUUGUACACAGAUCCGAGCUACGCCUGUAGCUUGGUAAACUGUGUUCCGGAGAAACCGCGAAAAAAGAAUUGCGAGAAAAUUAACAGCAACAAAGAUAUAUUAAAAAAAUUCAAAUCAUUAGCUUAAUAGAAGGGCUGUGCAAAUCAGACGCAGUCAGUGGUGCGCGAAAAUUCGUUAAUAUAAAAUUGUCUUUAAUUAAAAUUCAUAAACACAAAAAUAUAUGUAAAAUUAGGGCAGAAUCAGAAAGGGAGGAUUGUUCCUUAAAGGAACAAUCAGAGAGAGAGAAAAAAAAGAAAAUAAUGACCCAUAAAAAAAUCCAAUUAAAAUCAAAAUGGAAUAAGCAAAAACGAUAUCGUUCAGAGAUAGAGAACGAAUUACUUAUGUUCGAAAUUCAUGUUCGAAGUCUCUCUAUCGCGCGCCGACUUUGCUCCGAUUUUAAUUAAAAUCCCUCUGCAUUAUCUCUUUAAUUUCAACUUCGACAUCCGGGCGACAGCUCGUGUCGCAUCUUUUGGACGCGGAGGUUUUAUUCAAGCAGCUGCGUGUGGUAUACACGAGAGCUGGAAGGGUGGCUUUAGGCCGAGGAGCGAAAUACGAGAUCGUGGAGCUUCUUCAUUCGGAUACGAGACUGACGCGCAACUUGGCGAAUGCGCGCGACCGAGCGCGAGAGAGUCGUGCCGCUAACGCUGACGCGUCGCCGUCGUCCGUCCGUCUCGUCGCGGCGCGCUUUUCGCUACCGCGCGCCGUGCAAGAGAGAGAGAGAGAGAGAGAGAGAGAGAGAGAGAGAGACGGGGCAAAGUGACCGCGAGAAGCUUCCCGGAAUGCACAUACACAUACACACACAUACGCGCGUGCAAACGCGCAACGAGUGCACCAGACUGUCUAAUCGCGCCGAGAGAGACCGCGAAAGGAGAUUUCGACGAACAGAGAAGCCAGAAUCCGUGCUUCUUCAAGCAUGAUGACGCGCGUAUAUAUACCUCUCUCUCUCUCUCUCUCUGUCUUUUUUCGCUCAUGCGGCAUCAUAUCUUCUUAUACCGGGUGUCCCGCCAACGUUGCAAGGUUGUAUUUAUGUAUAAAAUGCGUAGGAGCGCGUACAAAUAAAUACGUGCAUUAAACGCCGCAGAUGAGACAGGCGAGCCAAAAUCUUGGCGCAGAUUUGCCGAAAUAUUAGCGCGUGAGUAACUCAGAACUUCCGACAGUUUCACCAUCCCGCGGUUUCGUAUACGUAUAUGAGAGAUCGCCGCGCGAGAUUAGAUAUAAAUAACGACUCACGCGCGAUAUUGAAGCAAUCGAGGAAAAAAGAAAAGUGCGAUUUUCUAUUUUUGAAAUUGCCGGUCAUGAUGCAAGAGUAUCUAUAAGACGCGAUCGAUGCGCGUCUAGAUUUCGCAGAGAUGUGCACCGAAAUUGGUGCACAACGUCAAGGCAGUUUGCAUUUUUGCGGCGUCCUGCAGUCAGGUCACACAUUUGUAUUUUAUUCUACUUUUGUAUUUUUGUAUUUUUUCUUUGUAUUUUACUUUUCUUUCGUAUUUGAUUGAUAAGAAAAAUUGCAGUUCGUGACACAGUUGUUCAGCAGUUUGCGUGUAAAAUACGGAGAUCUUCUAAUGGAAGUUUAUUUCGAGAAUGACUUCUAUGGAAAAUAAAGUUUUUUUUUUGUAAGAAAUAAUUCAUUCUGCAUAUUUGGACUUAUUUUCGCAUGAGAUUAUUAAUAUUAGUUUUUCGCAAUAACUUUGGGCGUUCUCUCUUUAUGUAAUGAAAUUAAAAAUAGUUUUUCCAUUAAUAGCAAAUCACUUUUAUUCCUAAAUCACAUAUUUUGAAACUUGCGUCUGAAAAUUAAAAAAAUAUGCAGUAUUGAAACUUGCAAAAUUGUAAACUUAUAAUAAAUGAUAGCGUUUUCCA